rnacentral:rRNA from 1 species
AACGCGAAGAACCUUACCUGGGCUCGAAAUGUAGAGGACUAUACAAGAGAUUGUAUAUCCCGAAAGGGUCUCUAUAUAGGUGCUGCAUGGCUGUCGUCAGCUCGUGCCGUGAGGUGUUUGGUUAAGUCCAGCAACGAGCGCAACCCUUAUCGUUAGUUGCCAACGCGUAAUGGCGGGAACUCUAACGAGACUGCCUAGGUUAACUAGGAGGAAGGUGAGGAUGACGUCAAGUCCGCAUGGCCUUUAUGUCCAGGGCUACACACGUGCUACAAUGGUCGGUACAGAAGGCAGCGAAGCCGCGAGGUGGAGCAAAUCCUAUAAAACCGAUCUCAGUUCAGAUUGCAGUCUGCAACUCGGCUGCAUGAAGUUGGAAUUGCUAGUAAUGGCGAGUCAGCAAUAUCGCCGUGAAUACGUUCCCGGGCCUUGUACACACCGGCUAC